AGUGAACGCUGGCGGUGGGCCUAACACAUGCAAGUCGAACGACAACACAGUAAGAUCUUGCUCUUACCGGUGGCGAGUGACGGACGGGUGAGGCAUGCAUAGGCUACUUCUUUUACGGGGGGGAUAACGUAAGACAACUGACGCUAAUACCUCAUAUAUUCAACGGCUGAAAUCAAGAGAGCUUGGCACCUUUCGCGAUUGAAUUAGACGAUUUCGGAUCAGCUAGUUGGGGUGGUAACGGCCCACCAAGGCGACGAUCCGUAGCCGAUCUGAGAGGAUGAUCAGCCACACUGGAACUGAGACACGGUCCAGACUCCUACGGGAGGCAGCAGUGGGGAAUAUUGGGCAAUGGGCGCAAGCCUGAUGCAGCCAUACCGCGUGGGUGAAGAAGGUCUUCGGGUUGUAAAGCCCUUUUGUUGGGAAAGAAAAGCAGCAGAUUAAUACCCCGCUGUUUUGACGGUACCCAAAGAAUAAGCACCGGCUAACUUCGUG
rnacentral:rRNA from 1 species